rnacentral:rRNA from 1 species
AUGCUAUUCUGCCAUGCCACGGAGAGCGACAUAACUGCGGUCAAGGAAAUCCUUGGCCUGUUUGGCGGAGCGUCCGGCCUCAAAGUAAAUUACGCCAAGAGCUCGGCCACGGUCUUGCAUGGGGAGCAGGUUGCCACUGAGAUCAUCGCCGGCCUGGGCUGUUCGACCGCUGAGCUCCCAGUCACCUACCUCGGCAUACCAUUGACGACGCGCCGCCCGUCCGCCGGUCAGCUACAGCCCUUGGUCGACAGGGUCGCCGGGCGCUUACCCACCUGGAAAGCAUGGCUUAUGAACAGAGCCGGCAGGCUUGCCCUCGUCAAGUCGGUUCUCUGCGCGAUCCCGGUGCACCAGCUGCUUGCUUUUGCCCCCACGAAGAAAACUCUGCGGCAGCUCGAGAAGAUUCAACGGGGAUUCUUAUGGGCUGGGCGAGCCGUCGCCAACGGCGGUCACUGCCAUGUGAACUGGCGCCUUGUCUCCCGCCCCCUCGAGCUUGGAGGUCUCGGGGUUCGCGACCUCGAGCGCACCGGGCUUGCGCUCAGACUGCGGUGGCUAUGGCUCUCGCGAACUGACGAGGGACGCGCCUGGCAAGGGCUGGAUCUCCAAUUCUCCUGCCAUGAGCGCUCCCUGUUCUUUGCUUCCACCUUCAUGGCCAUUGGGAACGGCAUCAAAGCCCUGUUCUGGGAGGAUCGAUGGCUCAACGGGCGCUCCGUCGGCGAGCUCAUGCCCCUGCUCUACAACUGCGUCCCCAAACAACGGCGCAAGGUUAGAACGGUGGCCGAAGGCCUCAACGGCAACGCUUGGGCCCGUGACAUCCAGGGCGUUCUCGGCCUCCACGAGAUCGGUCAGUACCUGCAGCUUUGGCACCUCGCGCAGCAGGCCACACUUCGCGAUGCCCCCGAGCAACUGAUCUGGAAGUGGACCACGAGCGGCAUCUAUUCUGCGCAGACUUGCUACAUGGCCACCUUCCAAGGAUCCACGCACUCCUACUCCUGGAAGCUGAUUUGGAAGGCGUGGGCUCCCCCGAGGGUCAAGUUUUUCCAUUGGCUCGCUAACCUGGAUCGCUGCUGGACCGCCGACCGCCUAGCCCGCCAUGGCCUGCAGCAUCAUCCGCGCUGUCUUCUGUGCGAUCAGGCACCAGAAACGAUCCGGCACCUCUUGCUUGACUGCCCCUUCUCGAGGCAGGCAUGGCACGAGACCCUGGCGUGGCUGCGCAUCCCAGCGCCGAUCCCCAACCAGGAGCCCACCCUCAUGGACUGGUGGCAACACGCCAAGCACAACAUGCCACAAGCACAACGCAAGGCCCUGCAAUCCGUAGCGCUCCUAGUACCGUGGCUCAUCUGGAAGCAUAGGAACAGCUGCGUUUUCGAUAACGCGACGCCUUCCCUCGGCACGCUCGUCGACCGAAUCAAGGAGGAAGCCGGCUCCUGGGCUAAGGCCGGAGCGGCAGGUCUUAGAGUAGUCCUCCCCCCUACAUGGGACGUGCACUGA